rnacentral:rRNA from 1 species
CUGGCGGCGUGCUUAACACAUGCAAGUCGAGCGAGGUUACUACUAUUGAUCCUCGGAUGAAGCAGUUUACCUAGCGGCGGACGGUGAGUAACGCGUGGGUAACCUGCCCUAGAGUCUGGGAUAACACUGGGAAACUGGUGCUAAUACCGGAUACCUUUUUGGACAAGGCAUCUUGUCUAAAAGAAAGAUUACGCUCUAGGAUGGACCCGCGUCCCAUUAGCUAGUUGGUGAGGUAACAGCUCACCAAGGCGACGAUGGGUAGCCGGCCUGAGAGGGUGACCGGCCACACUGGGACUGAGACACGGCCCAGACUCCUACGGGAGGCAGCAGUAGGGAAUAUUGCGCAAUGGGGGAAACCCUGACGCAGCGACGCCGCGUGAGUGAUGAAAGCCUUCGGGUUGUAAAACUCUGUCCUCAGGGAAGAAAUAAAUGACGGUACCUGAGGAGGAAGCCCCGGCUAACUACGUGCCAGCCGCUGC